rnacentral:rRNA from 1 species
UGAACGCUGGCGGUGUGCCUAAUACAUGCAAGUCGAGCGAACAGACGAGGAGCUUACUCCUCUGACGUUAGCGGCGGACGGGUGAGUAACACGUGGAUAACCUACCUAUAAGACUGGGAUAACUUCGGGAAACCGGAGCUAAUACCGGAUAACAUGUUGAACCGCAUGGUUCACCAGUGAAAGACGGUCUUGCUGUCACUUAUAGAUGGAUCCGCGUCGCAUUAGCUAGUUGGUAAGGUAACGGCUUACCAAGGCAACGAUGCGUAGCCGACCUGAGAGGGUGAUCGGCCACACUGGAACUGAGACACGGUCCAGACUCCUACGGGAGGCAGCAGUAGGGAAUCUUCCGCAAUGGGCGAAAGCCUGACGGAGCAACGCCGCGUGAGUGAAGAAGGUCUUCGGAUCGUAAAACUCUGUUAUUAGGGAAGAACAAAUGUGUAAGUAACUAUGCACGUCUUGACGGUACCUAAUCAGAAAGCCACGGCUAACUACGUG